GAUUAACGCUGGCGGCGUGCAUAACACAUGCAAGUCGAACGAAGUGGCGGACGGGUGAGUAACGCGUGAGUAACCUGCCUUAGAGAAGGGGAUAGCCUGUGGAAACGAAGAAUAAUACCCUAUGCUCUAAGAUGGACUUGCGUCUGAUUAGUUAGUUGGUGGGGUAACGGCCCCCCAAGACAGCGAUCAGUAGCCGGCUGUAGAGAGUGUACGGCCACAUUGGGACUGAGACACGGCCCAUACUCUGCGGGAGGCGGCAGUGGGGAAUUUUGCACAAUGGGGGAGAACCUGAUGCAGCGACGCCGCGUGAUUUAGAGGGCCUUCGGGUUGUAAAAAUCUUUUCUAUGGUAAGCAUUACCAUAGGAAUAAGGACCGGCUAAUUACGUGCCAGCAGCCGCGGUAAUAC
rnacentral:rRNA from 1 species